GUCAAGUUGCGCAUACAAGUGUAAGUUUAACGUACAAACAAUAAUACGUAACAAUAUACGACAUGUUUCUGUGGCGAACUGUGUGAAUCUUUGUUCGUAAUUCUUUGUCAUUUUCUGCCAAAAGUGACUUUCUAUUUAAUUUUGACCUGAAGAGGACCGGAAGCCUGGCCUAAAUGUAGUUUUUCCCAAUAAAGUUUGCCAGUUUGGUCGACAAUUUAACUCUAUCCUUGGAAUAUACGUAAGAUAUUAGCUAAAUGAUUAUACUAUAGUAUUAUCUCUCCAAUACCAUUUUGCCGUGGUUUGCCAUUUACGUUUCUUCUUCUUAAGAAAAUAUUAGAGCUAAAAUGAUAAAAAAAACUUGGAGCAACAUAAGGUAAAUGUCCAAUGAUUGGACUAAUAAGAAAGCACGAUCAAAUUUACAUUUUUAUUAAUAAAUAAUUAAUGGAAGUACUAAGAAGGCUAAUGUUUAUAUGAAACUUUAGUUUUUCAGGUAUCGGAAAAUAACAGGAAAUAAAAUAAUUAAUAAAUGUAGAUUAUAAUUUUAAUGAAAUAUUAAACAAUGUCAUUUGUACCAAUAAUUGAACUGAGAAACAAGUUAUGCUCUAAUUACCGAAUAAGACAGACCCAAUAAUUGAAUGCAUAAUAAUAUUAAACAUUGCAUGUAUAUGUGCAAUUUUCAAAAAUAACUCGAAACUAUAGACACUAUAUCUUAUUCAAGGUGGUAAGAAAUUAAAUACAAAUGUGACUGUCCUUGUAAUAUUCAGAUGAAUAAUUUUUUCGGAGAUUUACAGUCAACUUAUAUCUUUUUAUAUUUUACUUCCAUAAAAAGAAAUGUCAGAUAUUCUUUUAAAUAUAUAAUUUUGUCUCAUUUACUGACAAGCAUCUUAAUAAACACAAAUGUAUUAUUAAUUAUUCAAUCAUUGGCACAUGUUCAAUUACUAGGACGUUUACCUUAAUUAACUGUUUAAUUGUAUGAAAUUUGUAUUGAAACGACACUAAUAUAAUUUUUUAUGCAAAGAAUAUAGCACAAUAUGUAACAAAAUGAAAUUUCGAAUCCUAUUCAUCGCAAUACAAAGCCAAUAGUUAUAUGCUUCCACCAGUUUCUCAUACGGUAUCUUUUAACUAAGAGAUGAACUUACGUGUUCUCAUGCCUUGCCAUAUCUUAAGCAGUUAAGAUUGUAGAAAAACUAAUUCUAACAUAUGUAUACAAGCAAAAAGAAGUUUCCUCGCGUCGAAUAAAUUACUGUGAAAUAAGAUAUUGCUGAACUAGCAAGCUGAAAACACAGUUCGUUUAUGACAUACAGAACUGUUCAUUAAGAUCAUAUUUAUUAAAUUCUGUUUGCUUAU